rnacentral:rRNA from 1 species
UACGGAGGGUGCGAACGUUAAUCGGAAUCACUGGGCGUAAAGCGCGCGUAGGCGGUUCGUUAAGUGGGAUGUGAAAUCCCCGGGCUUAACCUGGGAAUUGCAUUUCAAACUGGCCGACUAGAGUACGGUAGAGGGAGGUAGAAUUUCCUGUGUAGCGGUGAAAUGCGUAGAUAUAGGAAGGAAUACCAGUGGCGAAGGCGGCCUCCUGGAUCAAUACUGACGCUGAGGCGCGAAAGCGUGGGGAGCAAACAGG